CUACGGGCGGCUGCAGUAGGGAAUAUUGGACAAUGGGGGAAACCCUGAUCCAGCAAUGCCGCGUGUGUGAAGAAGGCCUUCGGGUUGUAAAGUACUUUCGGUGGGGAAGAAAUACUUCAGGCUAAUAACUUGAAGGGCUGACAUUACCCACAGAAGAAGCACUGGCUAACUCUGUGCCAGCAGCCGCGGUAAUACAGAGAGUGCAAGCGUUAAUCGGAAUUACUGGGCGUAAAGCGCACGCAGGUGGUUACUUAAGUCAGAUGUGAAAUCCCCGGGCUCAACCUGGGAAUUGCAUUUGAAACUGGGUAUCUAGAGUCUCGUAGAGGGAAGUGGAAUUUCCGGAGUAGCGGUGAAAUGCGUAGAUAUCGGAAAGAAUACCAGUGGCGAAGGCGGCUUCCUGGACUAAUACUGACGCUGAGGUGCGAAAGCGUGGGGAGCAAACAGGAUUAGAUACCCGCGUAGUC
rnacentral:rRNA from 1 species